GAACGAAAAAAAAGUGAAGUAUCCGGGAUAUAUAACGGAUAAAAUACGCUCUUUUUUUUUUUGCUAUUUUCUUCUUUCUUAUCUUCUUCUUGCGACGAUAAAAUUUUAUUAGUUAAUUCUUGUGUUAAAAAUUUGAAAAAGAUUUUUACAGUUGACAUCAGAGCGAUGAAAUUGGGGAGACAGAGAAUAAAUUCUCGGUUGAAAAUGCCUGCGACAUUCCCAAUAAUAUAUUCAUCGUAUUUUUCUCUUUCUUCUUUAGAAAUGAAUAUUUAAAAGAAAAAAAAUGUCUUCAAAAGACACAUUCUAUGAUCGACAUUUUAUUGUAAUAAAUCGAUCUCAUUUUAGCGAGAAAUUUGAUUCUAGCAUUUAAAAUAAAUAAAUGAUAUACAAGUUGCAGAGUGAACCGGAAGUAAUAUUAUCUAUUCAGUAAGAUGAUUCAUUAUAUUGAAACCAAUCAUAUAAUUAUCGAAUAUAAUUUUUCAUUUAUAAAAUUUUUUUAAAGGAAAAAAACAUGCGGUUCGUAACAUAACCUAAUUAAGCGUUUCUUAUUAUUUCCCGUUUACUCUGUGCAUUAAUAAAGAGACACGUAUACAUACUAUAUAAUAAAAUAUAUUAUAGUGAUAUAGUAGAAAAUUAUGAUUAUGUACAUGUUGUAUGGAUAAGCUAAAUAAUAAUUGUACGAAUAUUACCAUUUAAACGUGUUCAAUGCGUGUAAUACGGAAUGUGUGAAAUUAUAUUGAGAAACUGGCCUAAUAAUACCCAACUUUUGUGCUGAUGAUUUCAUUUAUUCGUGGUUCCAAUAUCAUCCAAAAAAAAGAGAAAACUAUACGAAAAUCAAUAAUGGAACCAUCGUUUUCAUCAGGACAAAAUAAAAUCAGGAACAAAAUAUAUUUGUUCAAAACUUCUAUCAAACACGUCCCUAUAUAAUUAUCUCAUACCUUUCUUAUCCUUGUUGCUACAGGGGUCUGAGUGAUUCUGUAGACAGUCAUUAAAUUUGAUUAAAAUGAUUAGAAAUCAAUAAUCAA